rnacentral:lncRNA from 1 species
AGCCGGAGCCCGAGUGAGCGCGGGCUUGAGACCUGCUGAGCAGCGGGACCUGGCGGCUGGCGUUCUGGUGUGGGGCCGAGAACAGACCCUUCUUCUGAAAAGCCACUGGCCCCUUGUUCUAUGAAGGGUCCCCAUCCCCCAGGCUGCAGACUGGUACCAGUCCAUGGCAUGUUAGGAGCUGGGCUGCAUAGUAAGAGAGCCCCCAGCUAUCAAUACAUUACAGCAGGAUGAGAAAGACCCAGGCCUUUGACAUCCCAGGCUUUGACAGGCCCAGGCUUGACAGUGUCUUGGCACAAUGUUGUGGGAAGAAUAAGCACAAUGAAGAGGUGCCUCAGGAAGAGGACACACUCAGCCACCCACCUCAUGGGACUGCUAUGAGAAUGACUGAAAUAAUUAAUUGUGAAGAGCUUUGUGCCCCUGGGAGUAAGAACACUAUGACACAACUGGAGAAACUGGUUAUUUUACCAAGGCUUAGGCUGGAAUGGUGUGCUUUCCUUUAAAGAAUCAAACUUGACUUAUGGAGCCAAUAAAAGCCUCUUGGGAAAA